rnacentral:lncRNA from 1 species
GCUGGCUAUCCCACGUAUAAAUUUGUAAAGACUAUCCCAAGUACACACUUUUGGUUGGCUAUCCUAUGCAUAAAAUUAUGGAGACUGUCUCAGGCAUAAGCUCUUGGCUGGCUAUCCAUAUGAUGAAAUUUGCCCAAACCAUAUUUUUUCUAUCUGAUUAUUACAUGUUGAUUUUAUCAAAUUAAUCUCAAUUUACAAUGCAAUCAAGAUAAGCAUUUUCUAACCAUAUAAUUGCAUCAUCAAUUACUGAUAUAUAUAUA